UUACCGAGUUUACAACUCCCAAACCCCUGUGAACAUACCUAUACGUUGCCUCGGCGGAUCAGCCCGCGCCCUGUAAAACGGGACGGCCCGCCCGAGGACCCUAAACUCUGUUUUUAGUGGAACUUCUGAGUAAAACAAACAAAUAAAUCAAAACUUUCAACAACGGAUCUCUUGGUUCUGGCAUCGAUGAAGAACGCAGCAAAAUGCGAUAAGUAAUGUGAAUUGCAGAAUUCAGUGAAUCAUCGAAUCUUUGAACGCACAUUGCGCCCGCCAGUAUUCUGGCGGGCAUGCCUGUUCGAGCGUCAUUUCAACCCUCAAGCUCAGCUUGGUGUUGGGACUCGCGGUAACCCGCGUUCCCCAAAUCGAUUGGCGGUCACGUCGAGCUUCCAUAGCGUAGUAAUCAUACACCUCGUUACUGGUAAUCGUCGCGGCCACGCCGUAAAACCCCAACUUCUGAAUGUUGACCUCGGAUCAGGUAGGAAUACCC
rnacentral:rRNA from 1 species